UCAAUAUCGUUAUUUGAUGAAGCUGCUUCAUCAUCAUUAACUUGAAAGGUCAAGUGUGCUUCCACAUCAUUUUCUUUCCUUUUAAGGAAAGCUUGAUAAAGUUUGACAAAAUGAUCAGGCGUACGACAAGCACGUGUCCAAUGUCCUUUCAUACCACAUCAGUGACAAAUAUUAAUUUUACCUUUUGAAAGAUUAUUUUGAGAACCUUUAUUAUUCUCUUGUUCAUUUCCACCAUUAUGACGAUAAUUAUUUAGCCCUCUGCUACGUCCUCACCCACGUCCACGACCAUGGCCUUGACCACGGCCGCGAUAAUAAUUUUGCCUUAAUACAGACUGAUUAUGCGCUGCUACAACAUUCACUUCAGGGAAUGAAGCAGAUCCAGUGGGACGAGCUUCAUGAUUUUUCAUUAACAAAGUAUUAUUCUGCUUUGCCACAAGUAUGCAUGUAAUCAAUUCAAAGUAUUUCUUAAAUCUCUUUUCACGAUAUUGCUAUUGUAGCAAUACAUUAGAAGCAUGAAAAAUGGAAAAAGUUUUCUUUAGUAAGUCCUCAUCAGUGAUGGUUUCUCCACAUAAUCUUAAUAUUGAACUUACUUUAUGAAUAGCAGAAUUAUACCCAACCACGAUUUUAAAAUCUUGAAACCGAAGGUGUAUCCAGUCAUAUUUAGCUUUCGGUAAUACCUUCAAUUUUAGGUGGUGAUAUCGGUCCUUCAAGUUGGUCCAUAAUUCGAGUGGAUCUUUCACAGUUAAAUAUUCAGUUUUUAAUCCUUCGUGGAGGUGAUGACGAAGAAAAAUCAUAGCUUUCGCCUUAUCUUGACUAGAUGCGUUAUUUUCUUGUUUAAUAGUAUCCCCAAGACCUCUAGCAUCAGGGUGAAUUUCAGCAUCAAGGACCUAUGAUAAAUAAUUCUUUCUGGUAAGGUCCAGUGCCACAAACUCAAGUUUCG
rnacentral:lncRNA from 1 species